rfam:Bacteroides sp. CAG:530 genomic scaffold, scf366
GCAGUUGGUCGGUUUGUCGCUGGUACCUUUACGGUAAAAGAGGAAAGUCCGGGCAACGCAGAGCAUCCUACUUCCUAACAGAAAGCUAACCGCGAGGAUAGAGUAAUGCAGAAGAAAAUAACCGCCCUCCCUACCCAGGGAGAGCAAGGGUGAGAAGGUGGGGUAAGAGCCUACCAGACAUAUAGCGAUAUAUGUGCUGUGCAUCUUAGGAGUUGUAAGGUCAUGUAAACCGGCAUUAACGAGGGUUGCUCGCCCCACGUCGGAGGGUAGACCGCUAGAGCCUGUCGGUGACGGCAGGAUUAGAUAAAUGACAGACGUCUUAUUUAUAUAAGAAACAGAACCCGGCUUACAGACCAACUGCUUUU